rnacentral:rRNA from 1 species
AUUGAACGCUGGCGGCAUGCUUUACACAUGCAAGUCGAACGGCAGCACGGGGGCAACCCUGGUGGCGAGUGGCGAACGGGUGAGUAAUGCAUCGGAACGUGCCCUGUCGUGGGGGAUAACACAUCGAAAGAUGUGCUAAUACCGCAUACGACCUGAGGGUGAAAGCGGGGGACCGUAAGGCCUCGCGCGAUAGGAGCGGCCGAUGUCAGAUUAGCUAGUUGGUGGGGUAAAGGCCUACCAAGGCGACGAUCAGUAGCUGGUCUGAGAGGACGACCAGCCACACGGGGACUGAGACACGGCCCAGACUCCUACGGGAGGCAGCAGUGGGGAAUUUUGGACAAUGGGGGCAACCCUGAUCCAGCCAUGCCGCGUGCGGGAAGAAGGCCUUCGGGUUGUAAACCGCUUUUGGCAGGAACGAAACGGUGCGGGCGAAUACCCUGUGCUAAUGACGGUACCUGCAGAAUAAGCACCGGCUAACUACGUGCCAGCCGCCGCGGUAAAAC